AUGAGAAGGGCGUCCCGCCCUAUGGGGUCGACCCCCCGGCGCGAGCGAUCGCGCGGGGGGGGUCCCCCGCAUCUCCAACCCUUUGUCGAACGUACUCGUUGCCUCGGGGGCCUCACCGCCCCCGACGGACACACCACAAACACUGCAUCCCUGCGUCGGAGUAUUGAAACAAAUCAAUCA
rnacentral:misc_RNA from 1 species